UGUCGUCUGCUCGGCUGCCAGUGGUCGAUUGGAUGUGAAAGUGAGGGGAUCACUCUGUAAAUUCUUCGCCACCCUGACGCUUCUCAACUUGAUCUAAGGAAAAGGUAGUGUGCGGGAGUCUGAUGAUUGGCUGGCCGCGCCCCACCUGAGGUGCCAGCAGACAAGAACAGCAGCAGCAGCAGCAGCAGCAGUCCUCCUCCAGCAGCAGGAGCAGCAGCGUGAGAGACACGCCCCCCAGCUGCUCGUCUCGCCUGCUUUGCCUCGCCAUCAUGACCAAGUACUUCGACUUCGUGUGGAGGAAGGAGGUCGACCCCCGCCUACAGGAAGGUGCUGUCUUCGACCGAUGGACGGAGGACAAGGAAAGCUACGACUACGAGCCAAAGUGUACCUUCAAGGUGGACGAGUAUGGGUUCUUCGUGUACUGGAAGAGCGAAGGCCGGGACGGAAACGUGGCCGAAUUGUCUCAGGUAUCCGACAUCCGAAGAGGUCAGCUUCCUAAGGACGCCAAGUUGGCUGAUAAGUUACUAAAUAAAUUCGGGCAAGAUGUGGAGGACAAGAUGCUGGCCAUUUGCUCCGGGCUGGACUACGUCAACAUUAACUACACCAACAUCGUCUGCAAGACUAAAGAGGAGGCUGAUAUAUGGUUAGAGGGCCUUCGGAAAAUAUUUCACAACAUCAGAGCUAAUAACAUAUGUCCAAUGAUGUGCUUGAAGAAGCAUUGGAUGCGUCUUGGAAUGACGGUCGAUUCUGGUGGCAAUAUUCCUGUGAAGCAUAUUGUCAGAACCUUUGCUUCAGGCAAGACAGAGAAAAUGGUGUUCUCGUGCUUAGAAGAAAUGGGGUUGCCUUCAGGAAAAGGUGACAGUAUUGAAAAAGAGGCCUUCUCUUAUGACAAGUUCUACAAACUCUACCACACUAUCUGCCCUAGGACUGACAUUGAUGAACUCUUUUCAAGCAUCACUAAGGGGGAACACAUCAGUCUAGCACAGCUAGUUAAUUUCAUGAAUGAGAAGCAACGAGACCCAAGCCUCAAUGAAAUUUUGUAUCCACUCUAUGAUGAAAAGCGGUGUAUGGAGAUCAUCAGAGCUCAUGAACCUCACCCGGAGAAUGUCGAAAACAAGAGAUUCAGCAAAGAUGGCUUGUUGGCAUACCUCAUGUCUGAUGAGAAUGCGCCUGUAUUUUUGGAUCGUCUAGAUAUUUACCAAGAUAUGGAUCAACCACUUUCACAUUACUACAUCAACUCCUCCCACAACACCUACCUCUCUGGAAGACAGUUCGGUGGCAAGUCCACAGCGGAGAUGUACAGACAGACCCUGCUGGCUGGCUGCAGGUGUGUCGAACUUGAUUGUUGGGACGGUAAAGGUGAGGACGAAGAACCAAUCAUCACUCAUGGAAAGGCUAUGUGCACUGAUAUUCUCUUUAAGGAAGCCAUCAUUGCAAUUCGUGACUGUGCAUUUGUCACCUCGGACUACCCAAUUAUCCUGUCCUUUGAGAAUCAUUGUUGUAAGAAACAACAAUACAAGUUGGCAAAAUACUGUGAUGAAUACUUUGGGGAUCUACUUUCAAAAGAACCUCUGCCAGACAGCCCACUUGUCCCUGGCCACCCUCUUCCAUCACCUAACGAAUUAAAAUUCAAGAUUCUCAUUAAAAACAAGCGCUUAAAGCCCGAGGUGGAAAAGCAAGAGUUAGAAUUGUUCCUGAAGGGUCAGCUAGACCUUGUGGAUGACGACGACGCAAAGGAGGAUGCAUCCCAGACCAACCCACAGCCAAAGGAACCUAAGAGUAACUCGUGCACUACCAUCACCACCCCUGUGUCGCAGCCCUCGCUAGAAGAUGAUAAGCCCCUGACGGCCGAGGAGCGAGCCUUUCUCUACUACCAGUACACAGGCGCCACUACCCACGUCCACCCUGUCCUCUCUUCCUACGUCAACUACUGCCAGCCGGUCAAGUUCCAGGGGUUUGAUGUGGCAGAAGAAAAGAAUGUGCAUCACAACAUGUCGUCUUUCUCCGAGACCAUGGGAUUGGGCUACCUCAAAACACAGGCCAUCGAGUUUGUCAACUAUAAUAAGCGACAGAUGUCCAGAAUCUAUCCCAAAGGUGCCAGGGUUGACUCUUCCAACUAUAUGCCUCAGGUAUUCUGGAAUGCAGGGUGCCAAAUGGUGUCUUUAAACUUCCAAACUUCAGAUCUUCCUAUGCAGCUGAAUCAGGGCAAGUUUGAGUACAAUGGAAAUUGUGGAUACCUUCUCAAGCCUGACUUCAUGAGACGAACUGACAAGACGUUUGAUCCCUUUGCCGAGUCUCCAGUAGAUGGUGUGAUUGCAGCCCAAGUUUCUGUGUCUGUUAUUGCAGGCCAGUUUUUAUCAGACAAAAAGGUAGGAACCUACGUCGAAGUGGAUAUGUAUGGCCUGCCCACUGACACAAUUAGAAAAGAGUUCAGGACAAGAAUGAUUCCUGGCAAUGGUCUCAAUCCCCAGUAUAAUGAGGAACCUUUCCUCUUCCGUAAGGUUGUAUUACCCGAUUUGGCUGUCCUGCGAUUUGGUGUAUUUGACGAGAAUGGAAAGAUGCUAGGACAGAGGAUCCUGCCCUUAGAUGGCUUGCAAGCAGGCUAUAGACACAUAUCACUGCGCACUGAAGGCAACUUUCCCAUGUCACUGCCUAUGUUGUUCUGCAACAUUGAACUCAAGAUCUAUGUUCCUGAUGGUCUUGGCGACUUGAUGGAUGCCCUUUCGGACCCUCGAGCCUUUUUGAGUGCCCAAGAAAAGCGAGAGGAACAAAUGAAGGCAAUGGGUAUUGAAGCUUCUGAUAUUGACACCAAGGCUUUGAAAGGCGGGGGAGGCAAAACGGGAGGAGCAAAGGCCGGAGGGCAAGGUGCCAAGGCUGGAGCACCAGGUGCCAAGGCUGGAGCUGGAGCCAAGAAAGAGGAAGAACCUCUUGAAUUUGAGCCCAUCAACCUUGAGACACUCCGUUCACAGAAGAACUUCUUGAAAGCGACUAAGAAGCAACAGAAGGAACUGGAGAGCAUGAGAAAAAAACAUAUGAAAGAGCGCCUAUCAAUCCAAAAGGGCCAAUGCAGUGCAAUUGAAAAAUUAGCAAAGGGCAAAAAGGAUGUCAUGGAUGAUCCAAAGAUCAAAGCACUGGUGACAGAGCAGAUGGAACAGUGGUCUGAAAUGAUGGAGAAGCAUCGAAAGGAAGAAUGGGAAAUGCUAAAGGAACAUCUCAAGAGUCAGGAGGAUAUUCUGAAGAAGCUCAUGGAAGAAGAACAGGCUGGACAGAUAAAGAAGAUGGAAGGAAGACAUGAACAAGACAUGAAGGACAUGAAGGCACAGCAAGCUAAAUUGGCUAUGGAAACUGCCAAAGAUGUGAAUCAAGACAAAACUCUAAAAACUAAAGCUGACCGUGACCGUCGUCUCAAAGAAAAGAAUCAGAAUAACACGAAGAGGUUCAUAGAAGAGCGUAAAAUUUCUGCAAUGAAGCAAGGGAAACAGAAGGAGAAACUUAGGAAGGUUCACGAGCAGCAGAUGACCGAACUUACAAGAGAUAUCAAAAUGGUGAAGCAGUCGUCAUUUGCUUGCACUGAGAAACAAGAAUGUAACCAAAGAAAAUAACCAUCAGUUGGAGAAAGGGCAACCCUUCCCCCAAAACUUCCCCCACCACGGUGCUUCCAUGGGCAGCUGAGGCCAACAGUCUACAACCUGCCAUUCAGUUCUAUGAGAACACUGAAGCAGAGUACAAGAUGUGGAAUAAAAUGGAGUUUUUCUGUUGAGACUGGCAAUGACUUCACAGUACAGUAUUACUGAUCAAGCCAGCCUUUGCCUCCCAGGAUCUACAAAUAUCCUCUGUUUGUGUCUUAUUUCAAACAUCACAUUUCAUUAACUUUUAAACUUCAGUAUACAAUAAUUCAAGUUGAAUAUACAAUACAGAGCUCCCUCAAAAAUCUGAAUUGCAUCAUUGCAGAUUAUUCAGAUUUACACAAUCUGGAUUUACAAAUAUUUGCCAUUUUUUUGGCCAUGAAAAUUUUUCGUUUUUUCUUACAUUGAAUUGUGUAUUAUAUAAAUAUCUGAAUAGUUGGUAUCUGGUAAACUUUUGCAGUUAUCUUGAACUGGCUUUUGAAGUCCUCAAUUCCCAUGGUAAAUGCCAUUCUUUGAGCAACAGACUGCAACUGCACCACCAACAACCACUCUCAGGCUUAAAUGAUGCAUUGGGAAUCCUCAUGUUUAAAAGGUUUCAGUAUGUCACUUCUUUCCACCACUGCCAUCCAUUUUAGUCAAAUAAUAAAACAAAAAGCAGACUACAUGUCAGAAAUGUUCAGCACUCAAAUGAAUGUCCUCUUACAAAGAAUGUCACUUUUCACUCGUUUGCUUUACCAAGGUCAAAAAAUGGACUAGAAAAUGGAAGCGGCUUGCAAAAGUGACAUACUGUCCUGUUUUCUGUUUUGGGUCCUCUGGGUUAGUCUGUUAGGUUAGGAGAGGACACUAACAGUUUUCUCGGCGUUUUGAAACCUUAGGAGGACGGGUUGCACCACUAGAACCAAUGCUAUCCACCAGCUGCUUGCCUUUCCAGCCAUGAUAAUGCUGCUUUUAAUAACUGCUGUCUUAUCUAUGGUAAGGAAGUUUUACAUUGCCUGAUGUAUCCAUACUUUUCUUGCAUUACUUGGCUUCAACUAUCAGUAGAUAACUAUGAGUUAUCAGUAAAAAGAGUCAGAAAAAGCAUUUUGACCUAUCUAUACCCAAGCAGUCUCAUAAGAAAAUAUUUACGGUCAUAACGCAUGCUCUUGCAAUACGUUCUGAUGCCUCAAAAGAAAGAAAAAACUUAAAAUUUGUUUGCUCAAUUUAUAAAGGCCUAUUUCUAAAUACAGUACUGGAAUUAUAAAUACAGGUACAGUACUAUUAUUUAUAAUUUUUACUUUUUAAUUAUUCCAGAAAGGAAAUCCAUUUUUUUGGAUGGAAAAUUGGGUAAGCAGAUUUGGUCCAUUUUAUACAUUCAGAUUUUUUAGGGAGCACUAAUUAACUUGUAGAUUUCCUAGUGUUUGCAAAUUAUGUUAAGUGGUAUGUUUAAGUUAAUUUCUUGAGUAUAACUGUUUUUGAAAAGCGUUACUGUAUUGCCAACAUUGUCAUUCUGUAAACAUCUGUCUUCACUCAUUUACAUCCAUGAACAGGGUAUUUUGUACUCUUAACAAGAGCAAACACUGGGGUCUACAAAAUUUAUAGUUUACACUUUUACUGUACAUCUUAAUUAGGUCUUUUUAUUACACACAUAGAUGCAGUUACAUUUAUAUGUACACAUUAGGCAUAGAGUAUUAUAUACAUUUCCUUAAAAAUAUAUAUUCAUAACUGCAUCAUUUUCAAUAUAACACGUUAAAAAAUAUAUACUAAAGUUUCUUAUAAAUUAGGGCAGAUUUAAUUUAACAUCCAUGACACUGUAAAUACAAUUAACACACAUGUAGCUUAAUUCAGUCACAUUAAGCAAGUACUUUAAUAAAUAAAUCAGUUCAACAUCAAGGCCUUGCAUAAGUGUUUUUUAAUGUCAAGUUUGACCUUAGAGUAGUAUGUAUGCUCAUGAGAGAUUUAAUGGGUACUUAUUGUAUGUACUCACUAAAACAGACAAAUCAGCUACCCCAUAUGGCUCAGAGCUGGUCUUCUCAUUUGGCUAUCUUGAUCUAGUCAACAAUGUACUGUACGAGUUUGUUUUUUAACAACCAAUAAUUAUUCAAUGUACUAUAUUGCAAUAAGGUAUUUCAAUAAGAUCAUUUUAUGUUUAUUGUUGGUAAUUAUCAUUCAUAAGGUUGCGGUUUCAAAAUUAAUUUUCCUAGAUAUAUUUUUGCCAUUGAGAAAGCUCAAUUUUUUUAACAUUGACAAGUAGUUAACAUUUUAUAAAGAGUAUGACACUAACAGUAUCUACAUUACAUAAUUAGAUGGUACUGUAUUUGCAUAAUUUUUUUUUUUUUUUUACCAGGACUACUUUUAUGUAUAAAGUUUAAAGUUUCAUAUUUGAUAAGCAUAUUUAAGUAUCCUUUGAAAUGUGGUCCAAAUAUCACUUAUGCAUGGAUAAGUUGUGUACAUAGUUUAUUAUAGUACUAAAUGGAAAACUAAUUAAGUUGUCUUUGUUUUGUGAAUAUUCUCAAUUAUGCAUUCCUCUUAAGCUUCAGUAAGACUGAGAUAAGCAUUUUGUUUGGAUUGUCAUGAAAAUGCUGUAUUAUUUAUUGAUAACUUUAAUAUUUAACAUAUAUAUAUAUAUAUAUUUGAAGAUUUUAUUAUCAUGACUUGGAAAAUUAAUAUUUAUAUACUGUAAUGCUAUUGAUUUUCUGUAUGAAAGUGUAUUGUAUGUAAACUCUAGUCUUGUUCUAGUCAAUUUGAUAAGAAUUUAUAUUUAGAUAUUAUAGACAUAUAUGUAUAUAUACAUAUAUAUAUUUAUAUAUUCACUGCAUAUGUAAGAUUGCUUCCUCUGUAGUGCCAAGUAUUACUGUGAACAUGAAAAAUAUUAAUAACAGAAUCAGUGAGUGUGAUCCCAUUGUCAGGUUAUAAUAAGGUCCAGAUUACACCUGGCAAUACAAAUAUGAUCAGCCUUAUCUGUAUGUGUGCUAACAGAGGGUCAGUUCAAGUGAUUGCAGUAUUUUUUAAAGUCCACAGUAGCUUUUUCAUUUUGUUCGUUUUUGUUUUGUAUAGAUCAGUAUUAUCAAAGUACUGUAGAUAAACUCAUUGAAAUGGUUAAAAAUAUGCCUUGUAGAGGCUGUCUGUGUUAGCAAAGCCUUGCUUUAUAUACAUUAGUGUAAUUGGUUAAUGCUCUAGUGUUGCAAUUUCAAUUUAAUUUAUAUAAGAUACAUAAUUGGUGGACUGCAUUAUUUUCACCAGUUAAGACAGUGUCAAUAGUGAAAGUGACAGUUGUGUACGCGUGUGCAGGAGGUAAAUAUUUUCAACCUUUUUACUUCUCAAUAUGUUAGAUGGAAUAUAAAUGUUGAGGAGAUUUACCAAAAACACACAAAAAGGAAAUGUCCUAUCUUGAUGUAUUAUGAACAGUAUUUACCCAUAGGCGAUUUUGCCAAUGUGCCAAAGAAUCAAAGUGUCCAUCCUCUUGGCAUAAUGCCCCUGGGCCGCAGAGUCAGCCAGUAUUUUUCUACCUUUGGAUAAUAAUAAUGAGGGUAUUUUUAUCAUCAGUGUUUAUGGUGAAUUACGUCCAUUAAUGGUAUAGUAGAUGCUUGUUUUGAGUUCUGUAGAGGAAUAACAGCACUUUUAACCCUGCUUAGGCAUAAAUUAGGAAUUAUUUUGUGCAAGGAAGAAGUGAUAAUUGUGUUAAGUUAUUUGUGAAAGUUUACCGAAUGCUGGUGUUAUGCAAAUGCUCGUCAGUGUGUACGGGUGUACAGUAGUCAUGGCGAGACCAUUUACAUUCAAGAACAUGUGCCUAUAUUGCCAUCUUUCAAGUCUCUGUACAAUACACUUACAUUCUGCACCUUACUUGCUCAUAAAACUGCAUUGCACUUUAUCUAAAUUACAUAAAUUUAGUUGACUAUCAUAUUUGAAAUAUUACUGUAAAAUAAUGAAUAUUUAAGUUUUGUGCCAUUUAGAGCAAAUGUCCCAAACAGCUGUGUUAGAUUAUUUCAUGACAUAAUUGAUAUGUUUUUGUAAAAUUCAAACUAAAUUGUAUUUCAAAUAUAAAUUUAAUGUAUUCUGGUGACUGAAAAAAAUCAUUUAAAUUAUAUUUUUUUCUGAAAGUUAUUAAAAGGCAAACAGUUGGCCAUGCAUGCUCAAGACAUGUGAAAAGUUGGUCUUGCCCCAUUUUUCCCCAUGGACAUUCACUUGCAAUGCUGAUUUUUUUCCCCAAUUUCUAAAUCCAUACUUUCUUCAGACAUUGCUAUUUAAUUUUGUUCAAUUUCUCAAUCUUGCAAUCUUUAAUACUUUAAUUUUUCCCUCACCAUUAAUUAUACUUGAAGAUAUACUUCUAUUUUGCUAGUGUAAACAAGUGGAGCCUGCUCAACUUAUGUAAAACUCUUCAGCAAAUAUUUUAUGCGUUAUUGUUGGGUCCAAUAUAAAAUGUAGAGAUGGCCAGCAGCCUAAAUAUUUAGGGGAAGAUUUUACAUAUCCACCCUGUUGAGUGCAGAAAAUUCAAAGAUUGUUACAUAUAACAAAAUUAUCAUGUGAGGUAGUUAUUAUAAUUUAAGGUAAAUUCACUUUGUUUAUGGUCAAAUUCUGCAUGAAUGAAGGGAGAGCAGGAUUGGGUCACCCUAUAGCCUUUAACUUUUGAGAUAAGAUUGGCUAGACUAACACAAGUAUUACAAAAUGGCCAAGUCUUAUAAUUUGCCACUUGUUGAUUAUCAAACUGCCAAGAGAAAGAACUUUCUUCUCUAUUUUUAAGAUCAAUACAAUGAAUAAAGACAUUUUGAUUGUAACUUUGAACUUACAUGAAUACUAUAUUGUGAAAUGCAAUAAAAUAUUGAUAUAGUAGAUAUAUAUGCAUGAUAACUACAGUUAAACAAAAAAAUGCUGGAAGAUCUUCCUUCCUACAACUAUUUAUAUAUUUAACCUGAAAAUAAGGAAUUAUAUAAGCAAAAAUACACCGUAAUUCAUAUAAGGAAUCUUUUGAUAAAAGUAAAUCAACUUUGAAAAUAAUCUGGUAUAUGCUAUGUGAAAACAAUUACUUAACUAAAUGAUGAUUUUGCCCAGACUCUGUAUAUGGUCAAUCCAAAAGGAGUCUUGGAGGUAUAUUUGUCAAGUCUUAAAAUAAAGUGCAGGCAACUCAUGAUCAGAA
rnacentral:misc_RNA from 1 species